AGCCCAGCAUCGGUUUGGGCGGUUGGAUAAAGGCCUUGGGAAUGUGGCUCCCCUCGGGGAGUGUUAUAGCCCUCGGUGCAAUGCAGCCUGUCCGGACCGAGGACCGCGCUUCGGCUAGGAUGCUGGUGUAAUGGUUGUAAGCGACCCGUCUUGAAACACGGACCAAGGAGUCUAACAUCUAUGCGAGUGUUUGGGUGUCAAACCCAUACGCGUAAUGAAAGUGAACGGAGGUGAGAACCCUUAAGGGUGCAUCAUCGACCGAUCCUGAUGUCUUCGGAUGGAUUUGAGUAAGAGCAUAGCUGUUGGGACCCGAAAGAUGGUGAACUAUGCCUGAAUAGGGUGAAGCCAGAGGAAACUCUGGUGGAGGCUCGCAGCGGUUCUGACGUGCAAAUCGAUCGUCAAAUUUGGGUAUAGGGGCGAAAGACUAAUCGAACCAUCUAGUAGCUGGUUCCUGCCGAAGUUUCCCUCAGGAUAGCAGAAACUCAUAUCAGAUUUAUGUGGUAAAGCGAAUGAUUAGAGGCCUUGGGGUUGAAACAACCUUAACCUAUUCUCAAACUUUAAAUAUGUAAGAACAAGCCGUCUCUUGAUUGGACCGCUUGGCGAUUGAGAGUUUCUAGUGGGCCAUUUUUGGUAAGCAGAACUGGCGAUGCGGGAUGAACCGAACGCGAGGUUAAGGUGCCGGAAUUCACGCUCAUCAGACACCACAAAAGGUGUUGGUUCAUCUAG
rnacentral:rRNA from 1 species